AAGAGCCGUAUGAUGGGAGACUAUCACGUACGGUUCUGUGAGAGGCUUAGAGUGAAAUUCCCCUUGCCUACUCGAC
rnacentral:ncRNA from 1 species